AACCAUUCUCACCUGCGGCUAGACCUGCGGAAGGAUCAUUAAUGAAUAAACUUGGUCGAGCUGUUGCUGGUCCUUCGGGAUAUGUGCACGCUUGCCACCAAUUUUAACCACCUGUGCACUUAUUGUAGACUGGAAACGUUUCUCGAGGCAACUCGGAUUGAGAACUGCUGCGCGAAAGCCGGCUGUUCUUGUGUUUCUCAGUCUAUGUCUUCAUAUACUCCGAAUGUAUGUAUAAGAAUG
rnacentral:misc_RNA from 1 species